rnacentral:rRNA from 1 species
AUGUACAAUAAUGUUGUGACAAGUGUUCGAACAAGUGAUGUCGACACCGAUGACUUCCCGAUUAAGAUAGGACUGCAUCAGGGGUCAGCUUUGAGCCCUUAUCUUUUUGCAUUGGUGAUGGAUGAGGUCACAAGGGGUAUACAAGGAGAUAUCCCAUGGUGUAUGCUCUUUGCGAAUGAUGUGGUGCUAGUUGACGAUAGUCGGACGGGGGUAAAUAGGAAGUUAGAGUUAUGGAGACAAACCUUGGAAUCGAAAGGGUUUAGGCUUAGUAGAACUAAAAUCGAGUACAUGAUGUGCGGUUUCAGUACUACUAGCUGUGAGGAGGAGGAGGUUAGCCUUGAUGGCCAGGUGGUACCUCGGAAGGACACCUUUCGGUAUUUGGGGUCAAUGUUGCAGGAGGAUGGGGGUAUUGAUGAAGAUGUGAACCAUCGAAUCAAAGCCGGAUGGAUGAAGUGGCGCCAAGCUUCUGGCAUUCUCUGUGACAAGAGAGUGCCACAAAAGCUAAAAGGCAAGUUCUACAGGAUGGCGGUUCGACCCGCAAUGUUGUAUGGCACGGAGUGUUGGCCGACUAAAAGGCGACAUGUUCAACAGUUAGGUGUGGCGGAGAUGCGUAUGUUGAGAUGGAUGUGUGGCCACACGAGGAAGGAUCGAGUCCGGAAUGAUGAUAUACGAGAUAGAGUUGGGGUAGCACCAAUUGAGGAGAAGCUUGUCCAACAUCGUUUGAGAUGGUUUGGGCAUAUUCAGCGCAGGCCUCCAGAAGCUCCAGUGCAUAGCGGACGGCUAAAGCGUGCGGAGAAUGUCAAGAGAGGGCGGGGUCGACCGAUUUUGACAUGGGAGGAGUCCGUUAAGAGAGACCUGAAGGAUUGGAGUAUCGACAAAGAGCUAGCUAUGGACAGGGGUGCGUGGAAGCUUGCUAUCCAUGUGCCAGAGCCAUGA